GUCGGUGACGUUUCUGCUGGGCGGGCUGUCUGUGCGCUCCAGACCUGUGCGUGCCCGGUCUGCGCACGGAGGGAGACCAGGUGCCACGUGGGGAUGAGGAAUACCGGGAGAAAGCGCUGGGGCAAUGCUGCCACAGACGUGUACAUCAGAGGUAACUCCAGUUAAGACAGAGGACCUACACUGGUGAAGAAAGAGCAUAAGUGAGAGGAGAAAAAGGUCCAGAAACUGAUAAAUUUGACUUUUGAGAGAGGCCGGAGAGCGGUGGCUGCACUGAUUCAGAUGGACAAUCACUUCCAUCAAAAAUACCCUGCUGGAAAAGAUCCAGUCUGACAAGUGCAGAAGCCGAUGUUUCAAACCCCAGUGCCUCAGCUAUUUUUAUUUCCCAAAAUAAUCCAAAGUGAGUAGAUGC